rnacentral:misc_RNA from 1 species
GAACUGCGAUAAGUAAUGUGAAUUGCAGAAUUCAGUGAAUCAUCGAAUCUUUGAACGCACAUUGCGCCCCUUGGUAUUCCAUGGGGCAUGCCUGUUCGAGCGUCAUUUGUACCCUCAAGCUCUGCUUGGUGUUGGGUGUUUGUCCCCGUCUCCGCGCGUGGACUCGCCCCAAAGUGAUUGGCAGCCGGCGUACUGGUCCCGGAGCGCAGCACAUGUCGCGCAAACGAGUGCCUUGGUACGGCGGCGUCCAUAAGCCCCUCUCUCACGCUCUUGACCUCGGAUCAGGUAGGGAUACCCGCUGAACUUAAGC